CAGUAGCCACGGUAACACGUAGGUGGCAAGCGUUGUCCGGAAUUAUUGGGCGUAAAGCGCGCGCAGGCGGAUAGGUCAGUCUGUCUUAAAAGUUCGGGGCUUAACCCCGUGAUGGGAUGGAAACUGCCAAUCCAGAGUAUCGGAGAGGAAAGUGGAAUUCCUAGUGUAGCGGUGAAAUGCGUAGAUAUUAGGAAGAACACCAGUGGCGAAGGCGACUUUCUGGACGAAAACUGACGCUGAGGCGCGAAAGCCAGGGGAGCGAACGGGAUUAGAUACCCGCGUAGUCCCUGUCUCUUAUACA
rnacentral:rRNA from 1 species